rnacentral:sRNA from 1 species
UUCCCACUAGAGCUAGAAACCAUGUCUUCAUCAUCAUCGCCAAGGUUCUCUCU